rnacentral:rRNA from 1 species
GACGAACGCUGGCGGCGUGCUUAACACAUGCAAGUCGAACGGAAAGGCCCUGCUUGCAGGGUGCUCGAGUGGCGAACGGGUGAGUAACACGUGGGUGAUCUGCCCCUUAUUUUGGGAUAAGCCUGGGAAACUGGGUCUAAUACUGGAUAGGACCAUGCUGUAGGUGGUGUGGUGGAAAGAUUAGUUUCGGUAAGGGAUGAGCUCGCGGCCCAUCAGCUUGUUGGUGGGGUAAUGGCCUACCAAGGCGUCGACGGGUAGCCGGCCUGAGAGGGUGGACGGCCACAUUGGGACUGAGAUACGGCCCAGACUCCUACGGGAGGCAGCAGUGGGGAAUAUUGCACAAUGGGCGCAAGCCUGAUGCAGCGACGCCGCGUGGGGGAUGACGGCCUUCGGGUUGUAAACUCCUUUCAGCCAUGACGAAGCCCUUGUGGUGACGGUAGUGGUAGAAGAAGCACCGGCUAACUACGUG